rnacentral:ncRNA from 1 species
AUGGGUUUCUUGCUUCCUAAAAGCAAGUGGUGCGGAUGGAGUAAUGCUCCCGCUUGAGAUUUAGUUAUUACUCAACAUAAAAAAUAACUUGGCGUGCAUGAUC